rnacentral:lncRNA from 1 species
UGGGAGGGGGAAAACUCAAACUCAAGAAACUAGUCUUACAAGGCCUUGUGAUAUACGGUGGGGUACAAAUCACAAGCUCGUCUUCAGUUGAUCUGGUCUUCUAUAUUGGUGGUGCUAGAGAAUAUUAGUGAAGAUGGGAAAAGAAAACACGAGCAUCUGGUUUAAUAUAAAGAAUGGAGGCAUUUAAAUUUGUGAUUAUAUUACAUCUUAUAAUAGGGUAUUACGGAAGACUCGUGAGCUGUCCCAAUCUUACUAUUACUAAUUGGAGGCUUCUUUUGAAGCCUCCAGGUGAAGUCACCUAGGAUUCCUAGGUGGACAAUCUAGAAAAAGAGAGAAGUCCUUGAAAUUCUUACAAAAAAAAUAAAACAUCUAGCCAUCAAUCGGUAGACUCAACUCAUCAUAGCCAUUGGAUCUAUUAUAUUUUAUGAAAAAUUACCCACCUAUAUCAUUAUAAAAAUAGCCUAAAGUAACCCCUAAAUCUAUAUCUAAAUUACCCACCUCUACCAUUAUAUAAAAUUAACUAAAGUAACCCCCUAAUCUUCAUCAAAAUUACCCACUCAUGCUAUUAUAAACAAUAUUUAAAAUAACAUCCUAAAUUUGAAACUAAAUUGCCCACAACUAAUACUUCAAAAAAACUUAAAGUAACCCUUAAAUUUGCAUCUAUAUUACCCACAUAUGCUAUUAUUAAAAAAUAAUAUGAGGUAACCCUACAUUUAAAUCCAAUCACCUUAAUUAAAA